rnacentral:misc_RNA from 1 species
GGCUGAUUCUGCACUCUCUGAGUUUUUACAAGAGAUUAAGAAUUCUCCUUCUGUAGAUUAUGGUCGCAUGGCAGAAAUACUGGUACAAAGGGCAGACUCGCAGGAUGAAUUUACUCGGCUGACUGCUAUAACUUGGAUAAAUGAGUUUGUGAAACUUGGUGGAGAUCAGCUUGUGCCUUAUUAUGCUGACAUUUUAGGAGCAAUUUUGCCCUGUAUAUCUGAUAAGGAAGAGAAAAUACGAGUUGUUGCACGUGAAACAAAUGAAGAACUUCGAGGAAUUGAGGCUGAUCCAGCCGAGGGAUUUGAUGUGGGAGCAAUCCUCUCCAUUGCUAUGAGGCAGAUGUCCAGUGAAU